rnacentral:rRNA from 1 species
GAUUGAACGCUGGCGGCAUGCCUUACCCAUGCAAGUCGAACGGUAACAGGUCUUCGGAUGCUGACGAGUGGCGAACGGGUGAGUAAUACAUCGGAACGUGCCCAGACGUGGGGGAUAACGAGGCGAAAGCUUUGCUAAUACCGCAUACGAUCUAAGGAUGAAAGCAGGGGACCGCAAGGCCUUGCGCGUUUGGAGCGGCCGAUGGCAGAUUAGGUAGUUGGUGGGAUAAAAGCUUACCAAGCCGACGAUCUGUAGCUGGUCUGAGAGGACGACCAGCCACACUGGGACUGAGACACGGCCCAGACUCCUACGGGAGGCAGCAGUGGGGAAUUUUGGACAAUGGGCGAAAGCCUGAUCCAGCAAUGCCGCGUGCAGGAUGAAGGCCUUCGGGUUGUAAACUGCUUUUGUACGGAACGAAAAGGCUCUGGCUAAUACCUGGGGCACAUGACGGUACCGUAAGAAUAAGCACCGGCUAACUACGUG